AAGCAUGCUCUCACAUUCAGGAUUAGGAAAGGAUUUAUAGGCUGAAGCAAUUAAUACAGUCUGUUUCUUGGUUAAUAGAUCUCAAUCUACAGCUAUUGAGUGCAAAACACCUUUUGAGAUCUGGUCCAGUUCACCUGCUAAUUACUCUCAGCUGAGAGUAUUUGGUUGCCCUGCUUAUGCUCAUGUGAGAGAUGGUAAGCUUGAGAAAAGGGUAAAAAAAUGCAUAUUUCUAGGGUAUGC
rnacentral:misc_RNA from 1 species